CGGGGUCGGAACUUCGGUUCUGGCUUACGUGGCGCACGGGUGAGUAACACGUGGGAAUCUGCCCAUCUAUGGGGAAUAACUGCGGGAAACUGCAGCUAAUACCGCAUACGCCCUUCGGGGGAAAGGCUUCGGCCGUAGAUGGAUGAGCCCGCGUCCGAUUAGCUAGUUGGUGGGGUAAAAGCCUACCAAGGCGACGAUCGGUAGCUGGUCUGAGAGGAUGAUCAGCCACACUGGGACUGAGACACGGCCCAGACUCCUACGGGAGGCAGCAGUGGGGAAUAUUGGACAAUGGGCGAAAGCCUGAUCCAGCAAUGCCGCGUGAGUGAUGAAGGUCUUCGGAUUGUAAAGCUCUUUCGACGGGGAAGAUAAUGACGGUACCCGUAGAAGAAGCCCCGGCUAACUUCGUGCCAGCAGCCGCGGUAAUACGAAGGGGGCUAGCGUUGUUCGGAUUUACUGGGCGUAAAGCGUGCGUAGGCGGCUUGUCAAGUCAGAAGUGAAAGCCCGGGGCUCAACUCCGGAACUGCUUUUGAGACUGGCAGGCUUGAGUUCGGGAGAGGGUAGUGGAAUUCCCAGUGUAGAGGUGAAAUUCGUAGAUAUUGGGAAGAACACCGGUG
rnacentral:rRNA from 1 species